GUCUACAGUCAUACCAUCCUGAAUGAGCCUGUUCUCAUCUGACCUCAGAAGCUAAUCAGGGUCGGACAUGGUUAGUACUCAGAUGAGAGAACAUGCAUGCUCAAAUAUCUUUUGGAGGCC
rnacentral:rRNA from 1 species